CAGCAGUCGAGAAUCAUUCACAAUGGGGGAAACCCUGAUGGUGCGACGCCGCGUGGAGGAUAAGGUCUUCGGAUUGUAAACUCCUGUCAUGUGAGAGCAAGGCUUUAGCGUUAAUAGCGUUGGAGUUUGAUAGUAUCACAAGAGGAAGAGACGGCUAACUCUGUGCCAGCAGCCGCGGUAAUACAGAGGUCUCAAGCGUUGUUCGGAAUCACUGGGCGUAAAGGGUGCGUAGGCGGCUUGGUAAGUCAGAUGUGAAAGCUCAGGGCUCAACCCUGAAAUUGCAUCCGAUACUGCCAGGCUAGAGGACUGGAGAGGUGUCUAGAAUUCUCGGUGUAGCAGUGAAAUGCGUAGAUAUCGAGAGGAAUACCAAUGGCGAAGGCAGGACACUGGACAGUAUCUGACGCUGAGGCACGAAGGCUAGGGUAGCGAACGGGAUUAGA
rnacentral:rRNA from 1 species